UUUACAUUUAAACCAGAAACGAUGUGUUCUUCACGUUUCUUGCUGAUAGGACUGAUCUUGAUGCCUGGUACAAGUGGCAUCGAUUCAGUCUCUCAGGAUACGUCUGAUUUAACAGCUCGGGAAGGAGAGACUAUCACACUGAACUGCAGUUACUCCACGUCUGAUACUUAUCCUUACCUCUUCUGGUAUAUUCAGUACCCAGGGAGUUCCCUGACGUAUGUAUUGAAGAGAUACGGCAAUGAUCUGGGAGAGACUUCUCUAAAUUUCCGCAGCAGGUUCGCUGCUUCUUUGGACAACAAACAAAAAAUUGUUACCUUGAGAGUCCUUAGGGUUCUUGUCUCUGACUCCGCCGUGUAUCAUUGUGCACUGCGUCCCACAUUGUUAUAG